rnacentral:lncRNA from 1 species
ACGAGGGACAAUAUUCCCCAAUAUUCAUGCAAUAACCCUUUUAUUGUAUAGCAAUAUAAUAUUUGAAAGUAAAAAUUGGUUUAAACUAAGAUUUUGUCGUUGAUGACGUCAAGAAUUUUGACCUUUUAUUGCACUAGUGCAAUAUUAGAAUUUAUUGCACACUAACUUUUGGUUACUUUCUGUGGGAAAUACUGUAUAGCUAUGCAAUAAAAUGGUAUACUGUGGAUUCAUUAUUUUUCGUUGUAAACCAAUUUUUCGUGUGUUUUGUGGGUACAGUGGAACCAGGAAUUCAAAUGUUCAGCGUAUAACAUAUCUUUAAUAGGCUUUGUAUACCAAGAUUGACAAAACCAAGAAAUUUAAAAAUAUCCACGAAUAUACAAGUUUUCUGCAAUCCACGAAAAUUGAUACCUACGAAAAUAAAUCAAUCCACAUUAUAAUAUAACAAUCAUGUGCUUUCUCAUUAAAUUUACAAAUGUAAACUACAUUCACAAUGGGUAAAGCUUACGUAUUGCUCUGAUCAUAGAUCGGCAGUCAGGUAAAUAAACAAAAUCUUGCCAGUAAUGCUUACAAAUCUAAAGCUUACGUAUCGCUCUGAUCAUAGAUCGGCAGUCAGGUAAAUAAACAAAAUCUUGCCAGUAAUGCUUACAAAUCUAAAGCUUACGUAUCGCUCUGAUCAUAGGUAAAUAAACAAAAUCUUGCCAGUAAUGCUUACAAAUCUAAAGCUAAUAAACUUUCCAAACACAAUUCGGCAGUAAAGUUAACGAACAAAAACUAGCAGAGCU